GACGUAGGGCGCGAGCGUUGUCCGGAUUUAUUGGGCGUAAAGAGCUCGUAGGCGGCUUGUCGCGUCGACUGUGAAAUCCCGCGGCUCAACUGCGGGUCUGCAGUCGAUACGGGCAGGCUAGAGUUCGGUAGGGGAGACUGGAAUUCCUGGUGUAGCGGUGAAAUGCGCAGAUAUCGAGAGGAACACCUGCGGCGAAGGCGGGUUGCUGGGCUGACACUGACGCUGAUGCGCGAAAGCUAGGGGAGCGAACGGG
rnacentral:rRNA from 1 species